GGGCUCUCCAGGUGGCUGUUCACCCCAGCUAUAAUGGGAUGAAGAAGUGUUAAAAGGCUUUAUCAUCCUCCAUUAACCAACGAAGAUGUCUGACACCUAUAUCCCUCCCUGCUCAGGAGGACAUAAGGAUUAAGCACAGGAUCCUAUUGCUCCAAGGAACAUCAUCAAUGUUUCUGUGCCUCCACCCCAGCAAGUGAGUAGAAGUCUUCCUAUGGAC
rnacentral:lncRNA from 1 species